rnacentral:lncRNA from 1 species
UGUGCUGCUCUGGUCUGGUAUUUGACAUCCAUCGUCUCAUUUAGUCCUCACCACGAGCCUGCCAAUUCAAUGGGUCAUCUGCAUCCUGCAGAUGAGGACCCGGGGCUCCGAGGCCUGGGCAGCUGGUCCCUCUCACGCUUGAGCCCCACCCCUGGGAGGAAUGGGGACCCCGAUGAUGCCAUCGCUGGGAGUGUUUCAGCAGGACCGUGAGCCCCCUAAGAGUAGUGACAUGUCUGAUCUGUUCCUGUUCCCCAAACCUGAGCACUGGGCUUGGCCCAGAGCAGAUGCUCAGACAGAUGAGAAACCUAAAGGUCAGCUGGGAGUUUUGUAAUCUGAGGAGUACCAGACAAGUGCUAGCUAUUGCUGUUUUUUAUUUAAACCACCAUACAAUUCUCUGGGGCGAUUGUUCGUUAGCCUGUCUGAAACAGAAAAACUUGUUUAAAAAUACCAGUUUCCAGUUUUACUGGAAAGUUCUAGCAACAGUAGGAUCACUUUUGUACAUGGCAGCACCCAGGUAAAGGCAAGGAGAAGUCACUUUCUUUAGCGGGGGCCUGAGCUCAGCAGUUUACUGGAGGCCCCACCAUGCCCUAUUGUCUCCUACCCAGCAAGCCUCACUACUUUCACUUCUCCAGUUUGGCCCCUGUGGGAAGUGGAAUUUGUGACCACUGCUUUAGGGGUUAAAUUGCAACAACAAUAAUGAAUGUAUUUUGAAAUUGGCAUAGUAAAUGGGCAUAGCUGGCAAAACACAGCAGCUCCUUGGGAGGUCAAAGGCACGUCGACUGCUCACCAUUUGUUCAGGCACGAACACUGCUGCAAAUAAUUGGUGACUUUUUUUGACCAGACAUGCAUCAACCCUCCUAGGGUGGACCAUCCCCGCCCUCAGGCUCACAGGAGCCGUCCCCCCUGGGCUGUCAGAGAAGCAUGAACACUGUGCCAAGGUGAGCGGGAGGCUCAGGGUGUCAGGGGAAGUCGCCUUUGUUGUUUGUUCAAUUCUGCUUAUGGCCUGAGUGAUUUUGUGCAGAGCCUUGCAAGGAAGAUUUAAAAGAACUGACUGAAGAUGCUCUUGCUCCAUGAAAUGCCUUUCCUGUGCCAGUGGCAAGAGGCACGAGGCCAUGAGGCUGCUGUUCCAACCUGGUCCGCAGCUCCACCUGAGCCAGCUUCCUGGCUCCCUUCUGCAAGGAGCCACUGAUGUCACGGCACCGAUGGCGGGUGACAAAGGGCCUCGCAGGGUGCUCGGAACCUAGUGGAUCCUCGGGUUUCUCUUGCGGGAUGCUUACAGGCUGAGAAAGCAGCUUUCUUUUAUCUGAAGAGUCUACAGCUCUUCACGACUGUGAUGAGGAAUCACGACUACAGACCCUGCCCAUGCGGGUCCCCUGUUCCAGCCGCCCUGUUGGGUGGGGGGAGGAGCCUGCUAGGGUUCUGUCCCGCUGCAUCAUUUUCCAGCCCAGAGAGGAGGGCUGAGGGACAGCGUGUGUCCCCUGUGCCUCUCACGCCCUACUCAGCAGGCCUUUCUGAGCAGCGGCCCUGUGCCAGGCCCAGAGCCGGUGCUGACACA